rnacentral:tRNA from 1 species
AGUCGCGUAGCUCAGUGGUAGAGCAUCACCUUGACAUGGUGGUGGUCGGUGGUUCUAGUUCAAUCCUA